CCUACGGGAGGCAGCAGUGAGGAAUAUUGGUCAAUGGACGAGAGUCUGAACCAGCCAAGUAGCGUGAAGGAUGACUGCCCUAUGGUUUGUAAACUUCUUUUAUAUGGGAAUAAAAUGUUCCACGUGUGGGAUUUUGUAUGUACCAUAUGAAUAAGGAUCGGCUAACUCCGUGCCAGCAGCCGCGGUAAUACGGAGGAUCCGAGCGUUUUCCGGAUUUAUUGGGUUUAAAGGGAGCGUAGGUGGAUUGUUAAGUCAGUUGUGAAAGUUUGCGGCUCAACCGUAAAAUUGCAGUUGAAACUGGCAGUCUUGAGUACAGUAGAGGUGGGCGGAAUUCGUGGUGUAGCGGUGAAAUGCUUAGAUAUCACGAAGAACUCCGAUUGCGAAGGCAGUUCACUGGACUGCAACUGACACUGAGGCUCGAAAGUGUGGGUAUCAAACAGGAUUAGAUACCCCUGUAGUC
rnacentral:rRNA from 1 species